GUUGGAAAAUACAUUAGUAUAACUGAUCAAAUCAAUAGGUCAAAGGAUUAAAAACUUAAUGAUUUUCUUGAAAGAUGCUGGCAAUACAUUUGAUAAUUUUCAUUUUUUUUUCUUUCUUUUUUUUUUGACACAGGUUGGAGUGUGGUGAUGUGAUCAUAGCUUACUGCAGCCUCAACCUCCUGGGCUCAAGUGAUCCUCCCAUCUCAGCCUCCUGAGUAGCUGAGUCUACAGGUGUGGACCCCCACACCCAACUAAUUUUUUUUUUUUGGUAGAAAUAAUGUCUCCCUUUGUUGCCCAGGCUGAUCUUGAACUCUUAGCCUCAAGAGAUCGUCCCACUUUGGCUUCGCAGAGCAUUGGGAUUACAGCCUAGCCCUACAUGGGGUCAGGAUUAUCAAUAUCACUGUCUUCCUCCUCUAUAUCUUGUCCCACUGGAAGGUCUUCAGGGACAAGAACAUGCAUGGAGCUGUCAUCUCUUACGACAACAAUGCCUUCUGGAAUAUCUCCUGAAGAACCUGCCUGAGGCUGUUUUACAGUUAACGUUUUCUACAAGUAGAAGGAGUACAUUCUAAAAUAAUGAUUAAAAGUACAGUAUUGUAAAUACUAAGCCAUUAACAUCAUUGUUUUUUAUUGUCAUCAAGUAUGACAUAACUGUACAUGAUUGUAUGUGCUAUGCUUUUAUACAUCUGGCAGCACAGUAGGUUUGUUUAUAGCAGCAUCACAAACACAUAAGUAACUUGUGCUAUGAUGCUACAAUGGCUAUGACUUCACUAGGCGAUGAGAAAUUUUCAGCUCCAUUAUAAUCUUAUGGGACCACUGUUGCAUAUGCAGCACAUAACUGUAUUGGUUUACCACACUGAACUUCUGUUUUUUGUUUUUUUGAGACAGAGUCUCUCCUUGUCACCCAGGCUGGAAUGCAGUGGUGUAAUCUCUGGUCACUGCAACCUCCACCUCCUGGGUUCAAACAAUUCUGCCUCAGUCUCCCGAAUAGCUGGGAUUACACAUGUGCACCACCACACCUGGCUAAUUUUCGUAUUUGUAGAGACAGGGUUUUACCAUGUUGGCCAAACUGGUCUCAAACUCUUGGCUUCAAGUUAACUGCCCUCCUCAGCCUCCCAAAGUGCUGGGAUUACAGGCCACUGCAACCGGCCUGAACUUCUAUUUUAUGCUUUAUUAAAUCCAAAUUUGGAAAGCCCCCAAGUAUUUCCCAAUUUGAUAGGGCUCAAUCUCCAAAUUCAUUCCCCCAGAUUUUAUUGAGGAGUGGUUGUAGGCUUGGUAAGGGAGGGUGUAGAGUAGGCCUUAAUCUAGGUUGUGGUCCUUACACCCAAGGGAUGGCCUUUACAGUGUGUCAGCUCAAUGUUCUAGUAAUAAGGCCUCUCCUUUGCAACUGGGCCAGAUGUCUCAAGUCCCUGCACUGCUCAACCUCCAGUAUCUGUUCUGUUCACAACCUGUAGGAGCCAUCCUUUGAUAAGCUUUGUGAAGUCUCCUUUGAG
rnacentral:lncRNA from 10 species